GAUUUAAAAGGAAACAAUCUCUGGAAAAAUCAUGUUGCAAAAGGAAAUCUUGAAAUGUUUCCAUGGCUGUUUGGGCUUGAGAGCGAGGAAGGAUAUCAGAAAGUCUUGAGUCUUACUGAAACAGAAAUUUCUUAUGUUUGUCCUAUGAGUUUUAAAAAUUUAUGAAAGGGAAAGAGAUCAACUUCAAGGAGGAUGCUGCAAGCAACAGACGAUUUUGAAAAUCCUGGGAGUUUACCAAUGGUGAGGGAAUGGUGGAAGUCGGAACACUUGGCAUAAAUGGCGAUGGACAUGGACCCAAGUUCAGAACAGGGUCAGCAUUUCAGUCAUUCCCUGCCAUCAACCCUUCUUCCCUACAAGCAAAUUUAUGCUGAAAAACAAAAAGCUGCCAAGCAAACAACCCUCAGCACUUUCUUUAAACCGGUGUCAUCUCCUGCUGCCAACAGUUCUAAGAGUUCUGUGAGUCUUCCUUCACCCCUCACUGUGCUUGCUAUGAUCCUGAAGACCACAGCCAUCCACCUUAUCCACAUAAAGCUGCCCGACACCACAACAACCACUCAUCUCCCGGAGCGAAAACACUUGCCACUGUUGGAUAAAGUGAUCUUCAAAGAACAAGCUAUUUCAACUGCUGAAUGACAUUGCUCCCACACAAGCUAUUUAAUGUGAAAAACCUACAAUAUCAACAUAGUUCUUCUGUAAAUUAACAGACAAAAUGUACAAAGGCAUCACACAGCAUUGAUAUGAAGACAUACAUUUAUGAAUUACUUUAAAACUUAUAAUUUUUGAUUAUUUACUAUCAUGUUUUCUACUAUUGGUCUUGGUUGGACCAUGUUAAUUAACUGCAUCACUCUUCAAAAAUACCACCAAUCACUGGAGAUGCUGCUCCAAUAUCAGUAAUAUUUUCUUGAAACCUUGAUGUUUCGGAACUCUUGACAGAGGUUCUAGCUAGACUUGAAUCUCUCAAUCAGAUGAGAAAAACUUGGCACAGAAUUAGAGCAAAGUUUAUAUUGAGGAUGUAUUCGUAUUGCCGAUUCACUCCUCCCAACACCUCUGAAACCCCUUUCUUUCCCCAACUCUCCACGGUCCUAAACUUGACAGAUCUAAAUAGGUGGGAAUCACUAACUGUCUAAGUAUCAGUAAUAUACACUAUUUGGUGCUAUAGGAAAACUCUAAUUAUCUGCUGUCUACCUGUCUAGAAAUCCUGAUGGUAAUUACCAACUGGCUCAAUUGAUGCUUAUUCCCCUGAUGCUUAUUCCAUUUAAAACACCGCAGCUCUGGUCUUUUUCCUUGUCCUGGCUCCUGCAACACCAUUAACAUACCAGACAUACAGCUUCUGCACUCCCUUUACACUCUCUGGUUCCUGUGCCUACACUUACUGACAUUAAAGAUUCAGUAUUCUUCUUAAACUUGCUGGGUUUUCAGAAAAAAGUAUCAUACUACUGUGCAACAUCUAACAAAAAAGUGAAUUAGAAGUGUAUUAAAAUAUUAACUAGAAUGACAGCCACUAGUGUGCAAAGUCUAUCAACCUGACACAGCCAAUAUCACAAGCACGUUGGAUUUACAGAACUUUACUGUACUUUUU